UGGGGUUUCCAGGAACAUUCACCCAUGCCAUGUUCCAGUACAUAACAGUUUAAUUGUGAGACUGCGGAAGGCUCAGUAUAUCAGUUAUAAUCUAUUUGAUUGUAUUCCCAAUGGAUAACCGUGGGAAAUCUAGAGCUAAUACAUGCAGAUAAUUGGACGUGGGGUCAAACUCAUAUCCAAAGCAUUUAUUAAAAUAAAACCGACUGCGGCAAUGGGGCAACCUGUUGUGGUGAGAUGAAUCUAGAUAACUAUGCUGAUCGUAUGGCCUUGAACCGGCGACAUUUCAAUUGAAUUUCUGCCCUAUCAACUUGUUGGUAAGGUAGUGGCUUACCAAGGUUACAACGGGUAACGAGGAAUCAGGGUUCGGUUCCCGAGAGGAGCCAGAAAUAUGACUACCACAUCCCCAGUACAAUGCGCCACCGAUUAUCCAUACUACCAGGCGGGGGAACACAACCCUAUGGGUGGUUCUAUGGAUGAUACUGGAUGAUGAAUUUAGAGAUCGAUGAGUACACUGAGGGCAGUCUGUGCCAGCAGCCGCGGUAAUUCCAGCUCCAGUAGUGUAUUUUAAAGUUGCUGCGUUUAAAACGCUCGUAGUUGGAUUACGCAGUAUGAGUUGGUCGAUUGGCACAAAGGCACAUUAAAACCAAUCAGAAGUCUAUUUUCUGUGGUAAAUCCCAGAGAGUGGAUUUUUGGUUGGCGUGUCAAGUGUCGAUUAAAAGCCAGCUCAUACUACUUGUACGUGAGGAUGGUAGUUGACCUUUAGUGUGUUGAUUAUCGUGUCUCACGAAGUGUGCCUUGAAUAAAUCAGAGUGCUCAAAGCAGGCGAUAGCUUGAAUGUUAAUAGCAUGGAACGAACAGUUGUGUAUCCGUACCUUGUGUUGUACUGCAUGUGGGUUAUGCUUGCGUGUGUGUGCAAUCAAGUGUACAGCACCAACCGCCAAUUACGGAUGUUGGUUUCCGUGUUGGGGUGAUGAUUAAGAGGAGCGGUUGGGGGCAUUGGUAUUUGGCCGCGAGAGGUGAAAUUCUUGGACCGGCCAAGGACUAACAAAUGCGAAGGCAUCUGCCAAGACCGUUUCCAUUAAUCAAGAACGAUAGUGAGAGGUUCGAAGACGAUCAGAUACCGUCCUAGUUCUCACCGUAAACUAUGCCGACCCGGGAUCAGUUUUGAGCUUAUAUUAUGCUCGUGGUUGGUCCCCCUGGGAAACCUUAAGUUUUUAGGUUACGGGGGGAGUAUGGUUGCAAGGCUGAAACUUAAAGGAAUUGACGGAAGGGCACCACCAGGGGUGGAGCCUGCGGCUUAAUUUGACUCAACACGGGAAAACUCACCCGGUCCGGACAUCGACAGGAUAGACAGACUGAUAGAUCUUUCAUGAUACAGAGGUAGGUGGAGCAUGCCGUUUUUAGUUCGUGGAGUGAUCUGUCAGGCUGAUUCCGGUAACGGACGAGACCCAUAUUCUCUUGUUAGAGGACCGGAGAAAACUGCAAUCGAAUUAGUUUGUGGGUAACCAUAAGCUUUUUUGGUUGUAGCCGCAGGCAGGGUAUAUGAUCCAUCGUGUCGAUUACGCAUAACUGGCAAAGGGGCAGCUAUGAGUUGGAAGUGUGUAACCGAUAUGGUGGUUUUGUGUAUUCUCCCUCGGGAUAAACAUCGCAUGGUGCAAACUGUGUUAUGUGUUCUGGAGAGACAACCAAGCAUUCAUUAGAAGUUGGGGGAAGCGUUUGGCGAUAACAGGUCUGUGAUGCCCUUAGAUGUCCGGGGCCGCACGCGCGCUACAAAAAUAACAACAGAGAGAACCUGGGUAGAAAGACUUGGGUAAUCUUAUCAAUUGUUAUCGUGAUGGGGAUUGAUCGUUGUAAUUAUCGGUCAUGAAAGAGGAAUCCCUAGUAUGUGCAUCUCAUUAGGAUGCGCAGAUUAAGUCCCUGCCCUUUGUACACACCGCCCGUCGCUACUACCGAGUGAAUCGUGCUAUGAUGCCUUGGGACCGGACGCUGUUUGGGUUUAACCACCUGUUACGGCGCUGGGAUCAAUGUAAAGGGCGCAAUUCGAUGCAGAUUCUGCUCAUGCC
rnacentral:rRNA from 1 species